rnacentral:rRNA from 1 species
GAUGAACGCUGGCGGCGUGCCUAAUACAUGCAAGUCGAGCGAACGGAUCAGAAGCUUGCUCCCCUGAUGUUAUCGGCGGACGGGUGAGUAACACGUGGAUAACCUACCUAUAAGACUGGGAUAACUUCGGGAAACCGGAGCUAAUACCGGAUAAUAUUUUGAACCUCAUGGGUCAAAAGUGAAAGACGGUCUUUCUGUCACUAAUAGAUGGAUCAGCGCUGCAUUAGCUAGUUGGUGAGGUAACGGCUUACCAAGGCAACGAUGGAUAGCCGACCUGAGAGGGUGAUCGGCCACACGGGAACUGAGACACAGUAGAGACACUGAGGGGAGGCAGCGGUAGAGAAUCUUACGCAAUGGAGGAAAGCCUAACAGAGCAACACCGCGUGAGUCAUGAAGGUCUUCGGAUCGUAAAACUAUGUUAUUAGGGGAGAACAUAUGUGUAAGUAACUGUGCACAUCUUGACGGUACCUAAUCAGAAAGCCACGGCUAACUACGUG